GAACCUUACCUGGUCUUGACAUCCACAGAACUUUCCAGAGAUGGAUUGGUGCCUUCGGGAACUGUGAGACAGGUGCUGCAUGGCUGUCGUCAGCUCGUGUUGUGAAAUGUUGGGUUAAGUCCCGCAACGAGCGCAACCCUUAUCCUUUGUUGCCAGCGGUUCGGCCGGGAACUCAAAGGAGACUGCCAGUGAUAAACUGGAGGAAGGUGGGGAUGACGUCAAGUCAUCAUGGCCCUUACGACCAGGGCUACACACGUGCUACAAUGGCAUAUACAAAGAGAAGCGACCUCGCGAGAGCAAGCGGACCUCAUAAAGUAUGUCGU
rnacentral:rRNA from 1 species